GGAUGGAGGUGGCUGGCUCACAGCCUCUGCACUGUAUCUCUCACUGGUUAUUGUUUGUUGUACUGCAAGAGCAUCUGCAGAUCCCUGCUGCACAUUCCAGCCUCACUGUUCAGUGACUGGACGUACACCUAGCAGGAAAGGCAUCCUUCUAUGCAGAGAUUACAGAGCAUGUGUCUUGGUCCUUAGACACAGCUUGGGAAGUGCUGUGACAAGAUCCAAAGAGCUGUAAGCUCCUGUAACGUUAAUGUGUUGACUCAGCAUCUUUCAUGCAUAUUACUGGAUUUCAGAGCCAUGUCUAGGGUGACAGCUGUAGAUGGGGCCAGGACUGCCCAUGAGAGCAAUCCCCCCACCCUGGGGUCUGCUGGCCGCUCAGCCUGAUGCAUUCCUCAACCAGCACAUCUAAGGAUGUCCUCCUUGACACCUCUCUGAAUCCACAGCAGUUCCCUUCUGAUGUAGAUCCUGCUUUGCUUCUGGGAGGGUCAAUCUUCAUCCUCUGCAGUCUCCAACAGUAAUAAGGGGAGAAACCUGCAGAGAGGAGCCCACAACUAUCCCAGCUCCACGCACUAGUCUUUCUCUCUCUCACAGCAUCAUUGCUCCCCACUCCAGUAACUGUGCCUUGCCCUUGCAGGUCUCCACUCCUUUCUGGACUCCUUUCUUACCUAGCAGCCAAAAAUCCCAGCCCACAGACAGCGCCACUGUGGUGUCACUUUACCCACCCCACUCCCCCCUUUUACCAGCAUUGCUGCAAGUGGGGGCAAAGACAGGUCUGAGAAAAAGUGCUCAAUGCAACCCACCUGCUAAAUUGUGAGCUGGAAGAGUGCUGCCUUGUCCUGCUACUGCAGGCACUGGCUCAAGGAAAGGCAAACAUCUUCAUGUGCAAUAGCAAAGACAGUAUAGUGUUCUCAGGGUGGGAAGAAGAUGGUAAUAUUUUUGCAUGGAGAAGAACAUGGGAGAACAAGUGGAAGCACAAGAAUUUGCUUGAAAGGAGAAAGGAGAAAGAAAGGAGAAAGGAGAAGAAGGAGAGAAGAGAGAAGAAUAAAGGAAGAAAGGAGAAAAAGCAAAAGUGAAAAGGCGAAGGGAAAAAGGCAAAUGGAAAGGAAAAGGAAAAGGGAAAGCAAAGGGAAAGGGGAAGGAAGGAGAAUGAGCAGGAGGAGAAGGAGAAGGAGAAGGAGAAGGAGAAGGAGAAGGAGAAGGAGAAGGAGAAGGAGAAAAGGAGAAGGAAAAGGAGAAGGAGAAGGAAAAGGAAAAGGAAAAGGAAAAGGAAAAGGAAAAGGAAAAGGAAAAGGAAAAGGAAAAGGAAAAGGAAAGGAAAAGGAAAAGGAAAAGGAAAAGGAAAAGGAAAAGGAAAAGGAAAAGGAAAAGGAAAAGGAAAAGGAAAAGGAAAAGGAAAAGGAAAAGGAAAAGGAAAAGGAAAAGGAAAAGGAAAAGGAAAAGGAAAAGGAAAAGGAAAAGGAAAAGGAAAAGGAAAAGGAAAAGGAAAAGGAAACGCUCUUUCUCUAAACCAUUCUCUUCUGCUAUUUGCAUUUUUGUUUUUCUGGCAGUUGAAAACAAGGAAGUGAAAAGGAUAUAACCGUAUCUAGUGCUUGAUGAGAUUCCGUGCUUUGCAUCUGUAACACAGCCCUAUCGGCGGGCUGUUUCUGCGGGAGAGGAGGAGCAAAACCCCUUCGUCCCCGUGCCGGCCACUUCUUUGGAUCUUCCCCGGUGCCCCUCAAGAGGCUGCCCCGGGGAGGCUCCGGGGGGUUCCGAGGCUGCCGGCACCGCGGGGCUCCGUGGGUCAGAGCAUCUCCUAAGGGGAUGUCCGCGCUGCGUUUUUGGCCCCCAGACGGUUCCCCUUGGGGGAAGGAUAAAUCCGGGCACUUCUCUCCGGUCCCCAGCCCGAGAACAGCGGGGUUAUUUAGGGCCACGCGGCCCUGGAUCCUGGAACAACUCUCAGCCUUCCUCUCCUCUUCCAAACAAUAAAAGCCCUUCUCCAAGUAUUUAAUAAAUACGA
rnacentral:lncRNA from 1 species